GGGAGUCGGUCUCGUAGUGACCUGCGGAGGGAUCAUUA
rnacentral:rRNA from 1 species